rnacentral:lncRNA from 1 species
GGGGGGUGGGGCUGACCAACUUCGUCCGCCGGACUCGGAAUGCCGCGAGAUUUUGCGAGGGGCCUCCGUGUGCCAAAACUAAGCCACGGGCAGAGCCGCGCCCAAAAAUAACCUCCCGAAGGCCGGGGCGCCAAGUUCGUCCAGCGGAAAAAGGCCACAAAAACGGGUGGGCUAUAGCCUUGGGGGGUGGGGCUGGCCCACUUCGUCCGCCGGACUCGGAAUGCCGCGAGAUUUUGCGAGGGGCCUCCGUGUGCCAAAAAUAGGCCGCGGCCAAAGCCGCGCCCAAAAAUAAACGCCCGAAGGCCGGGGCGCCAAGUGCGUCCAGCGGAAAAAGGCCACAAAAACGGGUGGGCUAUAGCCUUGGGGGGUGGGGCUGGGCAACUUCGUCCGCCGGACUCGGAAUGCCGCGAGACUUUGCGAGCGGCCUCCGUGUGCCAAAAAUAGGCCGCGGGCAGAGCCGCGCCCAGAAAUAACCUCCCGAAGGCCGGGGCGCCAAGUUCGUCCAGCGGAAAAAGGCCACAAAAACUGGUGGGCUAUAGCCUUGGGGGGUGGGGCUGGCCAACUUCGUCCGCCGGACUCGGAAUGCUGCGAGACUAUGUGAGGGACCUCCGUGCGCCAAAAAUAGGCCACAGGCAGAGCCGCGUCCAAAAAUAACCACCCGAAGGCCGGGGCGCCAAGUUCGUCCAGCGGAAAAAGGCCACAAAAACGGGUAGGCUAUAGCCUUGGGGGGUGGGGCUGGCCAACUUCGUCCGCCGGACUCGGAAUGCCGCGAGACUUUGCGAGGGGCCUCCGUGUGCCAAAAAUAGGCCGCGGGCAAAGCCGCGCCCAAAAAUAACUGCCCGAAGGCCGGAGCGCCAAGUGCGUCCAGCGGAAAAAGGCCACAAAAACGGGUGGGCUAUACCCUUGGGGGGUGGGGCUGGCCAACUUCGUCCGCCGGACUCGGAAUGCCGCGAGACUUUGUGAGGGGCCUCCGUGUGCCAAAAAUAGGCCGCGGGCAAAGCCGCGACCAAAAAUAACCGCACGAAGGCCGGGGCGCCGUGUUCGUCCAGCGGAAAAAGGCCACAAAAACGGGUGGGCUAUAGCCUUGGGGGGUGGGGCCGGCCCACUUCGUGCGCCGAACUCGGAAUGCCGUG